GGGUCCAUAGCUCAGCUGGUAGAGCGCCUCGUUUACACCGAGAAGGUCCUCCGUUCGAGUCGGAGUGGACCCACCA
rnacentral:tRNA from 1 species